rnacentral:lncRNA from 1 species
UUGCAUAAAGUCCAAAAAACCGUCCGCUCUCCUUGUCCAAACAAAUCGUCACUCUUACUCUUCCUCUUAACCUUUUCGCAACAAAUCGUCACUCUUACUCUUCCUCUUUACCUUUUCGCAACUUCCUUCCCCAUUUCCUACGAGGAGAAGCUCAAAACCAGAAAAACAAACCCUAAUCAGUCACUCAAGGAAAUCCCACAAUUUCCCACAUAAACCCUCCCCUGAUUUAACACUCCAUCCCUCUUCACCAUCCGACCUCUCAAUUUCAAAUCCCAAUGACAACCAGCAUCCAUAUCACCGCCUUAGACGGGAUCGUAAAUGUGAACUCCCUCUUCACACUAGCCGUCUUCAUUGGCCUAGCUUGGAACCCAACUGAUCCCACCAACACUCUUAUUGGCCCCAAUGACCCCAUCUCCUGCUCUCCAAGCCCCAAAAUCGCUGAAGAUUUGAUCGCCUUCCACGUGUAC